AAGGAGGGAACGUCCAUCUCAUCCAUCCUCCUACCGUCCCCUCAUUCUUGCUUCUCCUAAUGAUAGCGUGCACGUUGUGCCCCCUUCGAUGCACCGCGUCGACUGCACCAGCAACAACAACAACAACUACGACGGCCGACAACAACGCGACCGACCGCUGCUCGACGAAUAUAUACACCGAGAAACGACGGUGAAGGCGAACCUAACUACCAGAGCACGCCUCCGCCUCCGUGCACUAAAACAUUACCACGCCGCCAGCGUCGGCUGCCGUUCCUGCUACCUUGUAGGGUAUCAUCCGAGGUUGACCCGCGCAGGAUCGCGACACGAUUAUCUGUGACCACGUCUUUGGAGCGAACUUCGAUUUCGCGAAGUGGAAAACACCGUUGCUUUCCUUUUCCGAACGCCGAUUUUCGUGACAUUCGAAGAUAUGCACCAAUAAAUACGGAGAACACGUGACGCGAACAGAAUUUUAAUGACGCCGAGUUAAUAACCUUGUCUCCCCAAUCUUCUUUGCCACGAAGCAAGACAGAUUUCCAAGGAAUCCUCUGGUCGACAUUAAUUCACGAUUUCACAGAAACGCGUGAAAGAAAGCACGACAUGCACGGGUCACCGGCGGUGACUAACGAAUCCGCGAAACGUGUAUCGAAUGCCGGAUAUAAAAACAAAAUUAAUCAAACAUCCGAGUCGAAGCGAGGAGACGCGAGUCGAAUCGGUAACCCGCGCCACGAAGACGAAUCGAAUACCCCAAAGCAGUGACCGCGCAUGGAACGCAAUCUCCGGGUAAAAUUAGUCGAGUCGAAUGCUCGAAUCAAACCGAGGAAGCGCCUCUAAAUCGACCAUUAAACCAAAACAGACUUGAAAAACCAAAAAAGAAGCCAAGAAUAGAAAUAAAAGCAAUUUCAUCCUCUAACUCUGGCUGUCUCGAAAUUCAAUUUAUCGAAACGGAAACGACGGACGUACCGUGAUGGGGACUUGCGUUCUCUUCUGGUCGUCCCGUCCUUUUCUCCAGUUUUUGCGCGUCGCUUCUCCCGGGCGGAGUUUUUGCGAGCGCUGGGCCAAGGCUCGUUUCUCGAGCACUCGCGGACCAACGACGCGGAGUACGUGACAACGAUAAUCAGCGAGCUUAAGUGGGGUUUAAUUUCCCUUGGCGCGGGCGGUGGAGAAAGGUGCCGGUGAACCAAGG
rnacentral:misc_RNA from 1 species